rnacentral:rRNA from 1 species
ACUAAGCGUAUACGGUGGAUGCCCUGGCAGUCAGAGGCGAUGAAGGACGUGCUAAUCUGCGAUAAGCGUCGGUAAGGUGAUAUGAACCGUUAUAACCGGCGAUUUCCGAAUGGGGAAACCCAGUGUGAUUCGUCACACUAUCAUUAACUGAAUCCAUAGGUUAAUGAGGCGAACCGGGGGAACUGAAACAUCUAAGUACCCCGAGGAAAAGAAAUCAACCGAGAUUCCCCCAGUAGCGGCGAGCGAACGGGGAGCAGCCCAGAGCCUGAAUCAGUGUGUGUGUUAGUGGAAGCGUCUGGAAAGGCGUGCGAUACAGGGUGACAGCCCCGUACACAAAAAUGCACAUACUGUGAGCUCGAUGAGUAGGGCGGGACACGUGGUAUCCUGUCUGAAUAUGGGGGGACCAUCCUCCAAGGCUAAAUACUCCUGACUGACCGAUAGUGAACCAGUACCGUGAGGGAAAGGCGAAAAGAACCCCGGCGAGGGGAGUGAAAAAGAACCUGAAACCGUGUACGUACAAGCAGUGGGAGCACGCUUAGGCGUGUGACUGCGUACCUUUUGUAUAAUGGGUCAGCGACUUAUAUUCUGUAGCAAGGUUAACCGAAUAGGGGAGCCGAAGGGAAACCGAGUCUUAACUGGGCGUUAAGUUGCAGGGUAUAGACCCGAAACCCGGUGAUCUAGCCAUGGGCAGGUUGAAGGUUGGGUAACACUAACUGGAGGACCGAACCGACUAAUGUUGAAAAAUUAGCGGAUGACUUGUGGCUGGGGGUGAAAGGCCAAUCAAACCGGGAGAUAGCUGGUUCUCCCCGAAAGCUAUUUAGGUAGCGCCUCGUGAAUUCAUCUCCGGGGGUAGAGCACUGUUUCGGCAAGGGGGUCAUCCCGACUUACCAACCCGAUGCAAACUGCGAAUACCGGAGAAUGUUAUUACGGGAGACACACGGCGGGUGCUAACGUCCGUCGUGAAGAGGGAAACAACCCAGACCGCCAGCUAAGGUCCCAAAGUCAUGGUUAAGUGGGAAACGAUGUGGGAAGGCCCAGACAGCCAGGAUGUUGGCUUAGAAGCAGCCAUCAUUUAAAGAAAGCGUAAUAGCUCACUGGUCGAGUCGGCCUGCGCGGAAGAUGUAACGGGGCUAAACCAUGCACCGAAGCUGCGGCAGCGACGCUUAUGCGUUGUUGGGUAGGGGAGCGUUCUGUAAGCCUGUGAAGGUGUGCUGUGAGGUAUGCUGGAGGUAUCAGAAGUGCGAAUGCUGACAUAAGUAACGAUAAAGCGGGUGAAAAGCCCGCUCGCCGGAAGACCAAGGGUUCCUGUCCAACGUUAAUCGGGGCAGGGUGAGUCGACCCCUAAGGCGAGGCCGAAAGGCGUAGUCGAUGGGAAACAGGUUAAUAUUCCUGUACUUGGUGUUACUGCGAAGGGGGGACGGAGAAGGCUAUGUUGGCCGGGCGACGGUUGUCCCGGUUUAAGCGUGUAGGCUGGUUUUCCAGGCAAAUCCGGAAAAUCAAGGCCGAGGCGUGAUGACGAGGCACUACGGUGCUGAAGCAACAAAUGCCCUGCUUCCAGGAAAAGCCUCUAAGCAUCAGGUAACAUCAAAUCGUACCCCAAACCGACACAGGUGGUCAGGUAGAGAAUACCAAGGCGCUUGAGAGAACUCGGGUGAAGGAACUAGGCAAAAUGGUGCCGUAACUUCGGGAGAAGGCACGCUGAUACGUAGGUGAAGCGACUUGCUCGUGGAGCUGAAAUCAGUCGAAGAUACCAGCUGGCUGCAACUGUUUAUUAAAAACACAGCACUGUGCAAACACGAAAGUGGACGUAUACGGUGUGACGCCUGCCCGGUGCCGGAAGGUUAAUUGAUGGGGUUAGCGCAAGCGAAGCUCUUGAUCGAAGCCCCGGUAAACGGCGGCCGUAACUAUAACGGUCCUAAGGUAGCGAAAUUCCUUGUCGGGUAAGUUCCGACCUGCACGAAUGGCGUAAUGAUGGCCAGGCUGUCUCCACCCGAGACUCAGUGAAAUUGAACUCGCUGUGAAGAUGCAGUGUACCCGCGGCAAGACGGAAAGACCCCGUGAACCUUUACUAUAGCUUGACACUGAACAUUGAGCCUUGAUGUGUAGGAUAGGUGGGAGGCUUUGAAGUGUGGACGCCAGUCUGCAUGGAGCCGACCUUGAAAUACCACCCUUUAAUGUUUGAUGUUCUAACGUGGACCCGUGAUCCGGGUUGCGGACAGUGUCUGGUGGGUAGUUUGACUGGGGCGGUCUCCUCCUAAAGAGUAACGGAGGAGCACGAAGGUUGGCUAAUCCUGGUCGGACAUCAGGAGGUUAGUGCAAUGGCAUAAGCCAGCUUGACUGCGAGCGUGACGGCGCGAGCAGGUGCGAAAGCAGGUCAUAGUGAUCCGGUGGUUCUGAAUGGAAGGGCCAUCGCUCAACGGAUAAAAGGUACUCCGGGGAUAACAGGCUGAUACCGCCCAAGAGUUCAUAUCGACGGCGGUGUUUGGCACCUCGAUGUCGGCUCAUCACAUCCUGGGGCUGAAGUAGGUCCCAAGGGUAUGGCUGUUCGCCAUUUAAAGUGGUACGCGAGCUGGGUUUAGAACGUCGUGAGACAGUUCGGUCCCUAUCUGCCGUGGGCGCUGGAGAACUGAGGGGGGCUGCUCCUAGUACGAGAGGACCGGAGUGGACGCAUCACUGGUGUUCGGGUUGUCAUGCCAAUGGCACUGCCCGGUAGCUAAAUGCGGAAGAGAUAAGUGCUGAAAGCAUCUAAGCACGAAACUUGCCCCGAGAUGAGUUCUCCCUGACCCUUUAAGGGUCCUGAAGGAACGUUGAAGACGACGACGUUGAUAGGCCGGGUGUGUAAGCGCAGCGAUGCGUUGAGCUAACCGGUACUAAUGAACCGUGAGGCUUAACC